CAACUUGAGAGUUUGAUCCUGGCUCAGAACGAACGCUGGCGGCAGGCUUAGCACAUGCAAGUCGAACGCAUCCUUCGGGGUGAGUGGCAGACGGGUGAGUAACGCGUGGGAACGUGCCCUUCAGUUCGGAAUAACCCAGGGAAACUUGGGCUAAUACCGGAUACGUGCGAGAGCAGAAAGAUUUAUCGCUGAAGGAUCGGCCCGCGUCUGAUUAGCUAGUUGGUGAGGUAAUGGCUCACCAAGGCGACGAUCAGUAGCUGGUCUGAGAGGAUGAUCAGCCACAUUGGGACUGAGACACGGCCCAAACUCCUACGGGAGGCAGCAGUGGGGAAUAUUGGACAAUGGGCGCAAGCCUGAUCCAGCCAUGCCGCGUGAGUGAUGAAGGCCUUAGGGUUGUAAAGCUCUUUCGGCGGGGACGAUAAUGACGGUACCCGCAGAAGAAGCCCCGGCUAACUUCGUGCCAGCAGCCGCGGUAAUACGAAGGGGGCUAGCGUUGUUCGGAAUCACUGGGCGUAAAGGGCGCGUAGGCGGCUUUAUAAGUCGGGGGUGAAAGCCUGUGGCUCAACCACAGAAUUGCCUUCGAUACUGUAUGGCUUGAGACCGGAAGAGGUUAGUGGAACUGCGAGUGUAGAGGUGAAAUUCGUAGAUAUUCGCAAGAACACCAGUGGCGAAGGCGGCUGACUGGUCCGGUUCUGACGCUGAGGCGCGAAAGCGUGGGGAGCAAACAGGAUUAGAUACCCUGGUAGUCCACGCCGUAAACGAUGAAUGCCAGCCGUUGGGCAGCUUGCUGCUCAGUGGCGCAGCUAACGCUUUAAGCAUUCCGCCUGGGGAGUACGGUCGCAAGAUU
rnacentral:ncRNA from 1 species